rnacentral:rRNA from 1 species
GACGAACGCUGGCGGCGUGCUUAACACAUGCAAGUCGAACGGAAAGGCCCUGCUUUUGUGGGGUGCUCGAGUGGCGAACGGGUGAGUAACACGUGAGUAACCUGCCCUUGACUUUGGGAUAACUUCAGGAAACUGGGGCUAAUACCGGAUAGGAGCUCCUGCUGCAUGGUGGGGGUUGGAAAGUUUCGGCGGUUGGGGAUGGACUCGCGGCUUAUCAGCUUGUUGGUGGGGUAGUGGCUUACCAAGGCUUUGACGGGUAGCCGGCCUGGGAGGGUGACCGGCCACAUUGGGACUGAGAUACGGCCCAGACUCCUCCGGGAGGCAGCAGUGGGGAAUAUUGCACAAUGGGCGGAAGCCUGAUGCAGCAACGCCGCGUGCGGGAUGACGGCCUUCGGGUUGUAAACCGCUUUCGCCUGUGACGAAGCGUGAGUGACGGUAAUGGGUAAAGAAGCACCGGCUAACUACGU